AAGUUCUAUGCACAAUAAUACAACACAGCACUUUCUGAAGCUUGGCCUUGAGGCUGGAGAAUGGGUUGUGGAAGGUGAAAACUUUCCUUUUAAAAUCCUAGUGACUUGGGGAGAACUGGCCUCUGACAAGUCUCUUGCUGCAGUCUGAUGACUGCAGCUCUCAGAGAUGCUGUUGGGUUGUCUGGUGUUUGUUUCUAGUUCUCUGCUCGAGUGUUAGUGCCAUUAGAUGGUCUUGCCCCUGUCUGCGGUUCUGCCUUCCAUGUCUUCCCCUUCCCCCUUGGCCUCCUAAAUUAGAUACAUUCCCCCUCUGCUCCCAGACGUCUCCAUCUCCUCAUCCCCUGACAGAGCAAUCAUUUAUCAAGUUGUUUCACGCGUUGUCGGGAGGGGGGCCCUGGGGACUCAGUUUGUUUCGUCCCUUUGUUGAAGCUCCACAGGAUCGGCCAGCUUAGUCUCCAGCCAACUGCUGAGAGUUGCUGGACUCCAGGAGCAAAUGUUAAAGGGGCCGCCUUUCAUCUACUUGCUGUGACUUCAACCUUUCUAUUUAAAUUCCAGCUUAUUGGAACUCACAUACGUACACUUCCUCGACAUGUUUUUGAUCAUAUGAUAUUUCUUUUUCAUUAUGUACCUCCCCAUCCAUACCAUCACUGAGGACCUGAAAUAGAUUUUUCAUAGU
rnacentral:lncRNA from 1 species